rnacentral:rRNA from 1 species
AGGACGAACGCUGGCGGCGUGCCUAACACAUGCAAGUCGAACGGGGGUAGCAAUACCCCAGUGGCGAACGGGUGCGUAACACGUGAAGAACUUGUCCAUCGGCGGGGGAUAGCCGGCCCAACGGCCGGGUAAUACCGCGUACGCCGUCUGAAGCGCAUGCUUCGGCCGGGAAAGCAGCAAUGCACCGAUGGAGAGCUUCGCGGCCUAUCAGCUAGUUGGCGGGGUAAUGGCCCACCAAGGCAACGACGGGUAGCUGGUCUGAGAGGAUGACCAGCCACAUUGGGACUGAGACACGGCCCAGACUCCUACGGGAGGCAGCAGUGGGGAAUAUUGCGCAAUGGGGGAAACCCUGACGCAGCGACGCCGCGUGUGGGAUGACGGCCUUCGGGUUGUAACCACUGUCGCGAGGGACGAAAAAUGACGGUACCUCGAAAGGAAGCACCGGCUAACUCUGCGCCAGCAGCCGC